rnacentral:rRNA from 1 species
AUUGAACGCUGGCGGCAGGCUUAACACAUGCAAGUCGAGCGGAGAUGAGGUGCUUGCACCUUAUCUUAGCGGCGGACGGGUGAGUAAUGCUUAGGAAUCUGCCUGUUAGUGGGGGACAACAUUCCUAAAGGAAUGCUAAUACCGCAUACGUCCUACGGGAGAAAGCAGGGGAUCUUCGGACCUUGCGCUAAUAGAUGAGCCUACGUCGGAUUAGCUAGUUGGUGGGGUAAAGGCCUACCAAGGCGACGAUCUGUAGCGGGUCUGAGAGGAUGAUCCGCCACACUGGGACUGAGACACGGCCCAGACUCCUACGGGAGGCAGCAGUGGGGAAUAUUGGACAAUGGGGGAAACCCUGAUCCAGCCAUGCCGCGUGUGUGAAGAAGGCCUUAUGGUUGUAAAGCACUUUAAGCGAGGAGGAGGCUACUGAGACUAAUACUCUUGGAUAGUGGACGUUACUCGCAGAAUAAGCACCGGCUAACUCUGUGCCAGCCGCCGCGGUAAUAC